AGUUGGAAGAGUCCUCAGCUGCAGUACAACUCUAAGAAUGGCUUGGCCAGGUCAAUAAAGGCCCCCUUUUAAGGAGGUCCCAGUUUGGACAGACAUGGCCUGCUCUUGUGCCACUGCUGUGCUCAGCCACUGGUGGGAAGCAGUCGAGAAAAGAACCAUCUCUCUCUACUCUGCAUGAAAAGUUUUUAUUAUUUGAUGCCCUAUCCUUAUGCUUCUGGCCUUGGAUUUACAAACACCACAUUUUUAUAUGAAAAGAUAUUUUAUACAAGAAAAAAUACAGACACCAAAAGAAUUAAAACUAGUUUCUCUGGAUUUCAGGCACCUUUAUUUGUGGCAGAUGUUUUUGGCCAGGGGGGCUUGCCCCUGAAGCCUGACAUUUAAGGAAGACACUAUCCUUCCAUCCAAGAGCAGCCCUAUCACCUCUGCUUGCCACUCAUGAGGCUUGGAAGCAUCCUGCACACAGGCUUCUGCUGGCCCUGCCCAGGUGGAGUGGGGCAUUGCAGGGCGAGCUCAGGUCUUACCAUUGGCCUGAUCACAGGGCUUUGCAGUUGGAGAACAAUCGUGGCAACUUCAUUUUCUUACAGAAAAA